UACGGAGGGGGCGAGCGUUGUUCGGAUUCACUGGGCGUAAAGGGUGCGCAGGCGGCCGGGUGUGUCGGGUGUGAAAGCUCGAGGCUUAACCUCGAAAUUGCGCCCGAAACUAUUCGGCUAGAGUACUGGAGAGGGAAGCGGAAUUCACGGUGUAGCAGUGAAAUGCGUAGAUAUCGUGAGGAACACCAAUGGCGAAGGCAGCUUCCUGGACAGUUACUGACGCUCAGGCACGAAAGCGUGGGGAGCAAAAGGG
rnacentral:rRNA from 1 species